rnacentral:rRNA from 1 species
UACAGAGGUCUCAAGCGUUGUUCGGAUUCAUUGGGCGUAAAGGGUGCGUAGGCGGCGCGGUAAGUCGGGUGUGAAAUCUCGGGGCUUAACUCCGAAACUGCAUUCGAUACUGCCGUGCUUGAGGACUGGGGGAGGAGACUGGAAUUUACGGUGUAGCGGUGAAAUGCGUAGAUAUCGUAAGGAAGACCAGUGGCGAAGGCGGGUCUC